rnacentral:sRNA from 1 species
AAACAGUAUAAGGAUUGGUAUACACAGUAGUUUUCAGAACAAAGGUUCAUCAGUGAAAGGGAGGCAUGCUGCUUGUUGGAAUAGAGACUGGAGAUGUAUUAGGUCAGAAACCAAAUUUGACUCCGGUUCAGGUUGGCCUUCGUUCCACGAUGUGAUCAGUUCUGAGGCAAUCACAUUCACAGAUGACUUUUCCUAUGGGAUGCACAGGGUGGAAACAAGCUGCUCUCAGUGUGGUGCUCACCUUGGGCACAUUUUUGACGAUGGGCCUCGUCCAACUGGGAAAAGAUACUGCAUAAAUUCGGCUGCCUUGUCUUUCACACCUGCGGAUAGCAGUGGCGCCGCCGAGGGAGAAAGUGGGGUCGCCAGCCCAGCCCAGGCAGACAAAGCAGAGCUCUAGAGUAAUGGAGAGUGAUGGAAAC